ensembl:lncRNA
CAUGAAAACAUUCACUCUUCAAUGAAAAGCCGUAUUAACUUUUAGGCUGAAACAUGCUUCUAUUUGUAGCAUAAGCCUGCAGGCUAAAACCAACCCCUCAAGACUGAUUUUGCCAGAGGGAAGAACGUCAGAAUUCCCAGAGCCUCUUUCCCUGAGCAGUUACAUGCUGGAAUUAUGUCUUCAAAAAUUCCAGGGUCCUUGAGUUCUUACCUGUUGCCACUUUCUGCCUCUAGGCAAGAAGAGAACCCAGUGGAGAGAAAGAGAGAGAGAGAGAAGUCCUAUUUCACAUAGAAGAAACCAUUUGUGGAAAGAUACUGGAGCGGCAAGUUGGAGCAGUAAUGUGGACCAAAGGGGAAACAGCAGGAAUAUUCAGUGAUAAAGAAAAAUGUGAAGAUACAAAGAAGUAUGAAGUGGAUAAUAAACUUCAUCCUGGUGCCGAUACUCAAAGAUACAUCCUGUUUAAAGACUGGUGUACAAACACAUACACAAAAUUGGAAAUGUAGUAGGUAUGAUUUUAAAGCCUGUCAUAUGUCAAACUGGGCUUCCCAGGUGGCUCAGCAGUAAAGAAACCAUGGUUCAGUCUCUGGGUUAGAAAGAUUCUCUGGAGAAGGAAAAGGCAACCCAUUCCAGUUUUCUUGCCUGGGAAAUCCCAUGGACAGAGGGGGUUGCAAAAGAGUUGGACACAACUUAGCAGCUAAACAACAAAUUUCUUAAACUGUUGUUAUUGUUGACGUUAUCAUUUUGUUUCUAAUUCAUUACAAAUUCUUCAAAUAUAACAUUUGGCAAACUAUAAUGCAUGUCAAAUCCAGCCUGCCACUUUUCUUUGUAAAUAAAGUUUUAUUAGAACACAG